GAUGAAGAACGUAGCGAAAUGCGAUAAGUAAUGUGAAUUGCAGAAUUCAGUGAAUCAUCGAAUCUUUGAACGCUCAUUGCGGCCGCCAGUAUUCUGGCGGGCAUGCCUGUUCGAGCGUCAUUUCAACCAUCAAGCCCUGCUUGCGUUGGGGUCCUGCGGCUGCCCGCAGGCCCUGAAAACCAGUGGCGGGCUCGCUAGUCACACCGAGCGCAGUAAUACAUCUCGCUUUGGGCGUGCGGCGGGUUCUUGCCGUUAAACACCCCCUUUUUACCAAGGUUGACCUCGGAUCAGGUAGGAAUACCCGCUGAACUUAAGCAUAUCAAUAAGCGGAGGA
rnacentral:misc_RNA from 1 species